CUCAAGUGCCGUCUGCCUGCCUGCCUUGUUGAAAGACUGUCCAUUAGUUUGACAGAUAUGCGUGCCUACAUACCAGCAGAAUUUGCAAGGAAACCUCACUACGUGAAGCUGAUCGCUGGAAGGCUACUGAAUUUCGACAGUUUCUUUUAGUAUACAAUGUUUAUGAGCAUUGUAUACUAAAAGAUCUUGCCCAUAGAUUUCGCCAGAGUGCCUAACAAACAUUUCUAGUAAUGUUUGGGCAUACUCCCAGUAGGUGGAAGAAAGUCUUGUUUUGAUCAAAAUAGCAAUACCAGCAAAGAGCAGCAUAACAUUGUUAUAUAUAGCAGUAUCCAAAAUGGAAGGUAAAACAACAGGACCAGUGUAUAAAAGCUUAAAAAAUGAAUGAGUAGGUCUAAUCUUCUUUAUUUGUGUUAGAUUUAGAUCUGUAUCUUAUAGUUGAAUUUGUGACCAAUAAAACUGUCCACAUGGUGCCCGCAACAUGGUAUAAGGAUGGAAUAGCCUGGUGGCCAAACUCCACCGAUGAGGAGAGAAUUGACAGAGCAGUCAAGAACACAGAAGAUCCUGGCCAGGGCUGGACCAAACAUGAGCUCAGGAUUUUCACACAAACACGGCAUUUGUGUUUUUUUUUCAUAAAGAAGUAACCAAAUUUUGUGGUAAUGUAUACAUGUAUAUUCCAUAUUGCAACUGAAUAAUAGAUGCCUUUAAUCAGAGUUGGCCAAGUUACUAUCCAAAGGAGGAAAGUGUCAGUUAUAUAGGUCUAGUUUGAACCCUUGGCAAAAAGUUAGGUCAGGAACCUUAUUUUAUAAACAAAAGAUCCUUUUAAUUUUUUUUUCCAGAUGAUUACCUGAAGGCAAGACAGAAGUUAAGACUCCUUAACUUGCUCAACAUCAUAUCUGCAGUCAGAAAAGGAAGACGAUUUGACGAAGCCAAAGAGAGAAAGGACGGCCAGAAUUCGGUUUGGCGACACUGAUAGUGACAGCGAUGAUAGUGCGUCAAAAAGGGUUCAGGAAAGACAAUAAAAAGCUACCUGCCAGCUGCAGCAGCAGUACCUCGCCCACCUUCAACUUCACCUGCUACACAAAGACCUCAAGUAAGUGCAGCACCUAGCCAGCCUCCAGACGAGUGUGUUGAAGACUUCAUUCAGUCACCUUCAAUGAUGGCACAGACACCAAGGAGAGUCACUGCUGUACCCACUAGACUGGAUUUCACUCGACCAUCAAGAAGUGAAAUGCUCACUUUCACUCCCACUGGUAGAGUUGGAAGGACUGGAACUGCAUCUAUUCCCUGCACUGGUAAUCUCCUCAUCAUGAUGUUAUUUUAGACCUAGAAAUGCUUAUUUGAACCAGUGUUGUUUGAACUCUCUGGAUGCCAGAGUAAGAUGGCAGCCACGAGCAAUCUGUCAAAACAACACCCCUUUUGCAUGAUUUGAGUUUGAGUGAUUUCAGUGAUUUUCACAGUAAAGUCACAUAAGCAAACUGAAAUAAAAAAACAGGCAUUUGCACAGAAUUGAGUUAAUGUACAAACAUAUUACCUGAAACACAACUGCAAAAAAUCUAUAAAUGUAAUAAACAUUUGAAGAUAAA